rnacentral:rRNA from 1 species
UACGGAGGGUGCGAGCGUUGUCCGGAAUCACUGGGCGUAAAGGGCGCGUAGGCGGCGCGGGUAGUCAUCGGUGAAAGUUCAGGGCUCAACUCUGAAUCGGCCGGUGAUACUCCCGUGCUCGAGCACUGUAGAGGCAGGUGGAAUUCCGGGUGUAGCGGUGGAAUGCGUAGAGAUCCGGAAGAACACCGGUGGCGAAGGCGGCCUGCUGGGCAGUAGCUGACGCUGAUGCGCGACAGCGUGGGGAACAAACAGG